rnacentral:sRNA from 1 species
UGAUCGGGACCCCUGACGUUUGGAAGC